CACUCCUGCGGGAGGCAGCAGUGGGGAAUUUUGGACAAUGGGCGAAAGCCUGAUCCAGCAAUGCCGCGUGAGUGAAGAAGGCCUUCGGGUUGUAAAGCUCUUUUGUCAGGGAAGAAACGGUGAGAGCUAAUAUCUCUUGCUAAUGACGGUACCUGAAGAAUAAGCACCGGCUAACUACGUGCCAGCAGCCGCGGUAAUACGUAGGGUGCAAGCGUUAAUCGGAAUUACUGGGCGUAAAGCGUGCGCAGGCGGUUUUGUAAGUCUGAUGUGAAAUCCCCGGGCUCAACCUGGGAAUUGCAUUGGAGACUGCAAGGCUAGAAUCUGGCAGAGGGGGGUAGAAUUCCACGUGUAGCAGUGAAAUGCGUAGAUAUGUGGAGGAACACCGAUGGCGAAGGCAGCCCCCUGGGUCAAGAUUGACGCUCAUGCACGAAAGCGUGGGGAGCAAACAGGAUUAGAUACCCUGGUAGUCCCAUGA
rnacentral:rRNA from 1 species